rnacentral:rRNA from 1 species
AUGCCCCCGGCAGCUGGCUGUUCGUUUGCAUCGCCGAAUAUUCAUCCUGAUCACCGGCCAAUAUAUAUAGCUAGGAUGUGCUUGUUCACGAGCUUCCUUCCAAAGCAAAUGGCUGCCGUGCGCUUCUGCCACCGAAUACAGAUCCUCAUGCUUCUCUGCUACUCGGUAUGGCUAUGGCCUCCUGCUACCUCGCUCUCUUUCACCACCAACUUCUCUCUUCCCGGUGGCUAUGACGCCAGCAAGCACCUCCGCUUCCAGCGCGACGCGCGCUUCGACCACGACUCCCGGAUGAUCCAUCUGACAAAAGCCGGCGGGAGCCCAAGAAACAGCGUAGGCCGGGUGUUGCACGCGCACCCCGUGACUCUGUGGGACGCCGCCACCGGCGAGCUCGCCGGAUUCAACACCUCCUUCACCUUCCGAAUCAAGGCUGCAAGCAGUAACACAUCCAGUGGCGAUGGCCUGGCUUUCUUCCUGGGGCACUAUCCUCCAACGACCAUCCCCGAAUCCCUCGACGACGGUCGCAACCUUGGCCUCUACCCGAAAGGCAUGGGCAGGGUCGCGACCGGCGCCGACCGGGCCGUAGCGGUCGAGUUUGACACCCUCAGGAACCCUGAGGUCGACCACAGCGGCAGCCACAUGGGCAUCGACGUCAACUCCAUCGAAUCCCUGGCGUACACCAAUGCAACCUGGCCUGAUAGGCAGCUCACGUCCGGCCUCCCAAUGUCUUGCCACAUCAGCUACGACACCAAGAUCCUAGCAGCCGUCCUCAAGAUCGGCAACGCGACCUACCAUGUCAACACCAGUGUUGACCUGAGGAAGCAUUUGCCUCCUGUGGUGGCCAUCGGCUUCUCAGCUGCUACCGGCCAGGGGUUCGAGAUACACCAAAUCGUAUCCUGGUCGUUUCACUCCACCUUGGAUCCGCCCACGCAAAGCUCCAAGCUUCUGCCGCCAAAAAACUACAAGAUGACGUGCAAACUGCUAGUAGAGGUAACAACUGUUCCAGUCAUUGGAAUUAUUGGAAUUGUGUGCAUCUUUGUUCGCGUCCGUCGAUGGCAGUUAUGCACGAGAAAGAAGCAUUACACAGCUCUCGCCAGGGGCCUUGGACAUUUUGAUUGUCAUGAGCUAUCACGCGCGGCCAACAAAUUUGCAAAGGAAAACAAGCUCGGGGAAGGAGGUUCUGCCUCUGUUUAUCGGGGCCAACUGACAAGUCCAACAAGAGCGGUGGCGAUAAAGAUAUUUAAACCGGCAACAUCCCGCGAGGGGAGGAAGGCAUUUGAGGAUGAACUAAGGAUUGCCAGUCGGCUGAGGCACCGGAACCUUGUCGAAUUGAUAGGCUGGUGCUACAGCGGCCCGAGGAAUCUUGUCGAGUUCAUAUGCUGGUGGCGGGACGACAUGUACACUCGUCUAUUCCUUGUGUAUGAGUUGUUGCCACAAGGUAGCCUUGAUCAACACCUACACGGUGGCAACAGUUGGUUACCAUGGUCCAAGAGGUACGAGAUCAUCCUAGACCUAGGAUCUGCACUGCAAUACCUCCACGUAGAUUGCGAGCAAGACAAGCAAUGUGUUGUACAUGGUGAUAUCAAAUCGAGCAAUGUGCUACUUGACCCUUUGUACGGCGCCAAGUUAGGUGACUUCGGAUUGGCAAGGUUUGUUCAUCAAGAAAUUGGGGCACAGACCACAGAUGUUGUGCAGGGCACUUACGGGUAUAUAGACCCUGUGUUUGUCAACACGAGCCAACGGAAUACGCAGUCCGACAUCUACAGUUUCGGCAUUGUGCUACUAGAGAUGGUCUCUGGAAGGGACCCGACGGUGCGUCUUAAUGAUAGACCUCCAUUGCCUUCAUGUGUAAGGAGUUUGUACCAUGGGAAUGCGCUCCUCGGGGCCGCAGAUGUCAGGCUGAUAGGUGGCGAGUCCAGUGUCGGGAGACAGCAGAUGAAGCGUGUGCUACUAGUCGGGCUCUUGUGCGUGCACCAGGACCCGAGCUGCCGACCGUCCAUCAUCCAGACAAUGGAUGCCCUGCGGUCGGAGAAGUUGAAAUUGGAUAUCACUCCCCUAGCGCCUGUGACACCACUCUUGAUGCCGUAG